rnacentral:rRNA from 1 species
GAUUGAACGCUGGCGGCAGGCCUAACACAUGCAAGUCGAGCGGUAGCACAGAGAGCUUGCUCUCGGGUGACGAGCGGCGGACGGGUGAGUAAUGUCUGGGAAACUGCCUGAUGGAGGGGGAUAACUACUGGAAACGGUAGCUAAUACCGCAUAACGUCGCAAGACCAAAGUGGGGGACCUUCGGGCCUCAUGCCAUCAGAUGUGCCCAGAUGGGAUUAGCUAGUAGGUGGGGUAACGGCUCACCUAGGCGACGAUCCCUAGCUGGUCUGAGAGGAUGACCAGCCACACUGGAACUGAGACACGGUCCAGACUCCUACGGGAGGCAGCAGUGGGGAAUAUUGCACAAUGGGCGCAAGCCUGAUGCAGCCAUGCCGCGUGUGUGAAGAAGGCCUUCGGGUUGUAAAGCACUUUCAGCGGGGAGGAAGGCGGUGAGGUUAAUAACCUCAUCGAUUGACGUUACCCGCAGAAGAAGCACCGGCUAACUCCGUGCCAGCAGCCGCGGUAAUACGGAGGGUGCAAGCGUUAAUCGGAAUUACUGGGCGUAAAGCGCACGCAGGCGGUCUGUCAAGUCGGAUGUGAAAUCCCCGGGCUUAACCUGGGAACUGCAUUCGAAACUGGCAGGGCUAGAGUCUUGUAGAGGGGGGUAGAAUUCCAGGUGUAGCGGUGAAAUGCGUAGAGAUCUGGAGGAAUACCGGUGGCGAAGGCGGCCCCCUGGACAAAGACUGACGCUCAGGUGCGAAAGCGUGGGGAGCAAACAGGAUUAGAUACCCUGGUAGUCCACGCCGUAAACGAUGUCGAUUUGGAGGUUGUGCCCUUGAGGCGUGGCUUCCGGAGCUAACGCGUUAAAUCGACCGCCUGGGGAGUACGGCCGCAAGGUUAAAACUCAAAUGAAUUGACGGGGGCCCGCACAAGCGGUGGAGCAUGUGGUUUAAUUCGAUGCAACGCGAAGAACCUUACCUGGUCUUGACAUCCACAGAACUUUCCAGAGAUGGAUUGGUGCCUUCGGGAACUGUGAGACAGGUGCUGCAUGGCUGUCGUCAGCUCGUGUUGUGAAAUGUUGGGUUAAGUCCCGCAACGAGCGCAACCCUUAUCCUUUGUUGCCAGCGGUUAGGCCGGGAACUCAAAGGAGACUGCCAGUGAUAAACUGGAGGAAGGUGGGGAUGACGUCAAGUCAUCAUGGCCCUUACGACCAGGGCUACACACGUGCUACAAUGGCAUAUACAAAGAGAAGCGACCUCGCGAGAGCAAGCGGACCUCAUAAAGUAUGUCGUAGUCCGGAUUGGAGUCUGCAACUCGACUCCAUGAAGUCGGAAUCGCUAGUAAUCGUAGAUCAGAAUGCUACGGUGAAUACGUUCCCGGGCCUUGUACACACCGCCCGUCACACCAUGGGAGUGGGUUGCAAAAGAAGUAGGUAGCUUAACCUUCGGGAGGGCGCUUACCACUUUGUGAUUCAUGACUGGGGUGAA